CUGCAGCCCGAGUGGUGAUCGAUUUUAUUGAGCCUAAAGCGUCCGUAGCCGGACUAGUAAACCCUUGGGUAAAUUGGGCAGCUUAACUGUCCAAAUUCCGAGGGGACUGCUAGUCUUGGGACCGGGAGAGGUCAGAGGUACUCAAGGGGUAGGGGCUAAAUCCUGUAAUCCUUUGGGGACCACCAGUGGCGAAGGCGUCUGACUAGAACGGAUCCGACGGUAAGGGACGAAACCCUGGGGCACAAACCGGAUUAGAUACCCGAGUAGUCC
rnacentral:rRNA from 1 species